rnacentral:rRNA from 1 species
CCUAGGGGAGGCAGCAGUAGGGAAUAUUGGGCAAUGGGCGCAAGCCUGACCCAGCGACGCCGCGUGAGGGAUGAAGGUCUUCGGAUUGUAAACCUCUUUCAGUAGGGAAGAAGCGAAAGUGACGGUACCUAAAGAAGAAGCACCGGCUAACUAUGUGCCAGCAGCCGCGGUAAU